UUAUUCAAGUAAAUAAUUUUGAUUUUAGGAAUCAAAUAAGGUUUAUCCCUUGAAUUAU
rnacentral:tRNA from 1 species